AUUGAACGCUAGCGGGAUGCCUUACACAUGCAAGUCGAACGGCAGCGCGGACUUCGGUCUGGCGGCGAGUGGCGAACGGGUGAGUAAUGUAUCGGAACGUGCCCAGUAGCGGGGGACAACCACUCGAAAGAGUGGCUAAUAUCGCAUACGCCCUACAGGGGAAAGGGGGGAUCGAAAGACCUCUCACUAUUGGAGCGGCCGAUAUCGGAUUAGCUAGUUGGUGGGUAAAGGCCUACCAAGGCGACGAUCCGUAGCUGGUUUGAGAGGACGACCAGCCACACUGGGACUGAGACACGGCCCAGACUCCUACGGGAGGCAGCAGUGGGGAAUUUUGGACAAUGGGGGAAACCCUGAUCCAGCCAUUCCGCGUGUGCGAUGAAGGCC
rnacentral:rRNA from 1 species